UACGUAGGGGGCUAGCGUUGUCCGGAAUCAUUGGGCGUAAAGAGCGUGUAGGUGGCCCGGUAAGUCCGCUGUGAAAGUCGGGGGCUCAACCCUCGAAUGCCGGUGGAUACUGUCGGGCUAGAGUGCGGAAGAGGCGAGUGGAAUUCCUGGUGUAGCGGUGAAAUGCGCAGAUAUCAGGAGGAACACCGAUUGCGAAGGCAGCUCGCUGGGACGUCACUGACGCUGAGGCGCGAAAGCUAGGGGAGCGAACGGG
rnacentral:rRNA from 1 species